GACGAACGCUGGCGGCGUGCCUAAUACAUGCAAGUUGAGCGCUGAAGGUUGGUACUUGUACCGACUGGAUGAGCAGCGAACGGGUGAGUAACGCGUGGGGAAUCUGCCUUUGAGCGGGGGACAACAUUUGGAAACGAAUGCUAAUACCGCAUAACAACUUUAAACACAAGUUUUAAGUUUGAAAGAUGCAAUUGCAUCACUCAAAGAUGAUCCCGCGUUGUAUUAGCUAGUUGGUGAGGUAAAGGCUCACCAAGGCGAUGAUACAUAGCCGACCUGAGAGGGUGAUCGGCCACAUUGGGACUGAGACACGGCCCAAACUCCUACGGGAGGCAGCAGUAGGGAAUCUUCGGCAAUGGACGAAAGUCUGACCGAGCAACGCCGCGUGAGUGAAGAAGGUUUUCGGAUCGUAAAACUCUGUUGGUAGAGAAGAACGUUGGUGAGAGUGGAAAGCUCAUCAAGUGACGGUAACUACCCAGAAAGGGACGGCUAACUACGUGCCAGCAGCCGCAGUAA
rnacentral:rRNA from 1 species